GAGAGAGAGAGAGAAACUGAUAUGUUCUUGGUCACUAGCAACAUCUGACCACCAGCAGCCAGCUUUGUAGAGAUUGCGUUACAGGUUCAACAACUUGAUUUGGUUCUUAUUGUUCUUGUAGAGGAUAGAAGUCUUCAACAUUUUUCUUAGGGCUUCAUAAUAAGGAUGAGAGCAAAAUUGGAUAGAGGUGAUGGUGUGCAUGGAGGUAUCAUCUUAAUUGAUACAUAGGAGCUUUCGUGAAUCCAUGAAUUUCAUUUUAUAAAAGGGAAAGAGAAUGGGGCUUUUUACUAAAAAAGUGCAUCUAAAAAAAAUUUACCAAAAGGGGGUGAGUUUAGACUUAUUUACCAAAAGGGGGUGAUUAUGCUGAGUUGGAGGAGAGAGAAAGUGGGAUGCUAGUAUAAAUAGCAUUCCACUAUUAAAAUAAUAAUUAAAAAAAAUUUCUGAAAGUCAAAAAAAAAUUAAACGAGUAGUUGGACGCUACUUAAAAUAGUGUCGCGUUUGACGCUACUUAAAAUAAUGUCCGACUAGUUGAACGCUAUUUUAAGUAGCAUUCAGCUACUUUAAUAAUUUUUUUCUCUCUCAAUUGUACUCACACUCAUACCACAAUUCUUUCACUUGCAUUCAUUCCUACACAGUUCAAUUAUUAAUUAUGAGAAAUAUUAAUAAUUACAGAGGUUAAAAAACUGUACUCACACACAUACACAGAAGCUACUUUAAUACUUGCUAAUUAUUGACUAACAAAUGAUGUUAUAUAAAAAUAUGGGUUUAAGUACAGUUGAGAGAGUAAAAAAAAUUAUUAAAGUAGUUUUUGUGUAUGGGUGUGAGUACAGUUUUUUAGCCUCUCUAAUUAAUAAUUAUUAAAGUAGCAACUGUGUAUAGGUGUGAAUAUAGUUUUUUAGCCUCUGUAAUUAUUAAUAUUUUUUAUUUACAUUAUUAGUUAGUUAGUAAUUGAACUGUGUAGGAAUAAGUGCAUGUGAGCGAAUUGUAGUAUAGGUGUGAGUACAGUUAAGAAAGUAAAAAAAAUUAUUAAAGUAGCCAGAUACUACUUAAAAUAGCAUCUAGCUA
rnacentral:misc_RNA from 1 species